rnacentral:tRNA from 1 species
GCUUUGAUAGCUCAACUGGUAGAGCGGUGGCGCGAAGUACCACAGGUAAUAGGUUCGACUCCUAUUCGAAGCA